GAAGGUAGUACUAUAUAGAGGUGAGGAAGGUAGUACUAUAUAGAGGUGUGGAAGUUAGUACUAUAUAGAGGUGAGGAAGGUAGUACUAUAUAGAGGUGAGGAAGGUAGUGUCAUUUCUGUGUAGUAUAUAGAGGUGUGGAAGUUAGUACUAUAUAGAGGUGAGGAAGGUAGUACUAUAUAGAGGUGAGGAAGGUAGUACUAUAUAGAGGUGAGGAAGGUAGUACUA